rnacentral:misc_RNA from 1 species
CACUGAGCCCCAUUCUGACUGUCUCUG